CUCUCUUUUUAUAAAACCUGGACCUACUCCUUUGCCCACCCUCAUCAACACAACUUUCCAUCUACUCUCUAACA